rnacentral:lncRNA from 1 species
GAGGCCCAUGAGAUGGAGCACUUCCAGAUCUUGAAAGAACGUUGCACCCUGAAAGCAGAUUGGCAAUUGAAUAUAUUAUGUUUCCAUGAAAUGAUCAUAUCCCGUGAUUCUGACAUCAAUUUGGACGGUGACUUAAAUAAUAUUUUUCCAAUUUUUUUUACUGAACUAAAACAUUUUAAUACUUUUGAAGCAAAAAUGUUUACCUUGAGAAGGUGAAUUGUACGAUCUUUUGCAGUGUAGUAUGGCGCUUUGGAUUCCGUCUUGUUGUUGCAAAGCUGAAUCGUCUUUCCUGGACGCCGGCGACGGAAUCGAUUUAAUGGUGGCGGAGGAUGACGAAGAGGAGCGACUUUUGCCUAAAUGCUUACGGACCUCUUUAAAUACUGU